rnacentral:rRNA from 1 species
UACGUAGGGUGCAAGCGUUGUCCGGAAUUAUUGGGCUUAAAGAGCUCGUAGGCGGUCUGUCGCGUCGGCUGUGAAAACCCGGGGCUCAACCCCGGGCCUGCAGUCGAUACGGGCAGACUAGAGUGCGGUAGGGGAGACUGGAAUUCCUGGUGUAGCGGUGAAAUGCGCAGAUAUCAGGAGGAACACCGGUGGCGAAGGCGGGUCUCUGGGCCGAUACUGACGCUGAGGAGCGAAAGCGUGGGGAGCGAACAGG